rnacentral:lncRNA from 1 species
GAUUGGCACAGAUUUCUGGCAUGGGAUUUGAGGAUGGUUUGUCUCAGUUGAUAUUCAGGUGAUUGAUGUUCUCUAUUUUUGUCUGUUUAUUUUAUUAUUAAAUUUUUAAACCAACACCGCAUGGUAUUUUUUUUUUUAGCAAGAAUAAUUCCGCAGGUGUUCAGAAGCCAAACGGCUGUGAAUUGAGUCAUGAAAGUGUAUUGGUCAGGUUUUGCUGCCAUCAUACUGCUUAACAAGCAACUGCUUGUUACUUUCAUAACAAGCAAGAUGUUGGUAGGUUACAGCCAUAAACACUUACUUUUUGCUCAUGGAUCUGUGGUUUGGCUAAAGAGGCUCUGCUUUAGGCUAUAAAUUGGGCUUAGGUCUGCUCUACACAUGUGUUAGCUUCUAGGGCUGCCAUGACAAAAUACCACAGAGUGGGUGGCUUAAACAACCGAAAUUAAUUUUCUCGUGGUUCUGGAGGCUACAAGUCCAAGAUCAAGGUGUUGGCAGGGUUGAUUUCUUUGGAGGCCUCUCCACUUGGCUUGCAGAUGGUGCCUUCUUGCUGUGCCCAUGUGUCCCCAGUGUCUCUGUGCGUGUCCAAAUUCCCUCUUCUUGUAAGAACACCAGUCAGAUUGGAUUGGGACCCACCCUAAAGGCCUCAU